rnacentral:sRNA from 1 species
UUGAAUAGAGGGCCGUUUGGGGCCGGAA